UACGUAGGGUGCCAGCGUUAAUCGGAAUUACUGGGCGUAAAGCGUACGCAGGCGGCUAUGCAAGACAGGUGUGAAAUCCCCGGGCUCAACCUGGGAACUGCAUUUGUGACUGCAUGGCUAGAGUUUGUCAGAGGGGGGUGGAAUUCCCCGUGUAGCAGUGAAAUGCGUAGAGAUGUGGAGGAACACCGAUUGCGAAGGCAGCCCCCUGGGAUGUGACUGACGUUCAUGUCCGAAAGCGUGGGGAGCAAACAGG
rnacentral:rRNA from 1 species